CCUACGGGAGGCAGCAGUAGGGAAUCUUCCGCAAUGGGCGAAAGCCUGACGGAGCAACGCCGCGUGAGUGAUGAAGGUCUUCGGAUCGUAAAGCUCUGUUGUUAGGGAAGAACAAGUGCCUGAGUAACUGCGCGUACCUUGACGGUACCUGACCAGAAAGCCACGGCUAACUACGUGCCAGCGCCGCGGUAAAAAGCGCCGC
rnacentral:rRNA from 1 species